GUUCAAGAAGAGUAAGUGCAGAGCCGUAUACCUGGGGAAGAAUAUCCACAUGCAUCAGUACAGGCUGGGGGCUGCCCUGCUGGAAAGGAGCUCUGUGGAGAAGACCUGAGCGUCCUGGUGGCCAACAGGUGGCCACAAACCAGCAAUGUGCCCUGGUGGCCAAGAAGGACAACAGGACCCUAGGGUGCAUUGCACAGUGUGGCCAGCAGGGCAAGAAAGGUGCUCCUCCCCUCUGCUCUGCCCUGGUGAGGCACAGCUGGAGCACUGCACCUAGUGCCGGGCUUCCAGUUCAAGGCAGACAGAGAACUGCUGGAGAGAGCUCAAUGAGGAGGGCUGAGGAGAUGGUGGGGGCCUGGAGCAUCUCCUGGUGGGGACACACUUAGAGCCGUGAGGCUGCUCGCCUGGAGAAGGAAAGGCUGAGAGGGAUCUGAUCAGUGCUGAUCAAUAUCUGAAGGGUGAGGGUUAAGUGGAUGGGGCCAGGCUCUUUUCAGCCAUGCCCUGCAACAGGACAAGGGACACCAGGCAAAGCUGGAACCCAGGGAGUUCCAUCUGAACAUGAGGAAGAACUUCUUUAUUGUGACAGUGGCAGAGCCCUGGCACAAGCUGCCCACAGAGCAAAGGCAACCGAAGCCAGGACCAUAGGAGAGUGGUGAUAGGACUCAUGGUACAUUGAGAGAAGCAGGCUGAAGUACACGUACUUUCAAGCAAGAUAAAUCCUUCCAGACUACUCAGUAAACAUGCUGUUCAUCAGCCGUUCCAUCUUCUUGGCUGCUGCUCUGACUGCUGAGUGCUCGACUCCCAGGUAGACUGCCAGGUUGACGGCGCAACAUUCAGGUUGCCAUCAGACAGCCACGUCAGAAUGCAAAUUAUACAGCUCUUCUCACUCAAUUAUCCCUUCCUGAGGGGGAUGGGUGAACGUAUGGGGUUUCUUGCUAUGGGGAAAAAAUUUGGAAUGGACAUCAGCAGUACAAGCAAGAGAUAAAACAUGGAGUACAAUAAACCAUCCUGACACUGGAAAUCUCAUUACGAUUUUGUUCUUAUCAACAGGCUCCAUCUUCACAGCUGAAGCAGAGUCAGCUCAAAACUGCUCUCUCUUCUUUACAAUGGAUUUUAGUGUGAACUUGUUAUGACACAGAAAUGUUUGGAUGCAUCCAAAGCAUUCAAAUUAGGAAAAAAAACCAAAAACCUAUCUUUCAGAGAGCUGAGAAUUAGGCACUCAGUCUUCAGUAUUUCAAAGAACAAACAUGUUAGUUAGAGUACACAGUACAGAAAAUGAAGACAGACUAUUUCU